UUUCGGUUGAUCCUGCCGGACCUGACUGCUAUCGGAUUGGUACUAAGCCAUGCGAGUCGUUGUAGCAAUACAAGGCGGACGGCUCAGUAACACGUAGUCAACCUAACCUAUGGACGUGGAUAACCUCGGGAAACUGAGAAUAAACCGCGAUAGAUCAUUAUGCCUGGAAUGGCUUAUGGUUCAAACAAUUUAUUGCCGUAGGAUGGGACUGCGGCCUAUCAGCUUGUUGGUGAGGUAAUGGCCCACCAAGGCUAUAACAGGUACGGGCUCUGAGAGGAGAAGCCCGGAGAUGGGUACUGAGACACGGACCCAGGCCCUAUGGGGCGCAGCAGGCGAGAAACCUUAGCAAUGUGCGAAAGCACGACUAGGUUAAUCCGAGUGAUUUCUGUUGAAGAAAUCUUUUGUCAGUCGUAAAACCACAGACGAAUAAGGGGUGGGCAAGUCUGGUGUCAGCCGCCGCGGUAAUACCAGCACCUCGAGUGGUCAGGAGGUUUAUUGGGCCUAAAGCAUCCGUAGCCGGCUACGCAAGUCUCCGGUUAAAUCCAGCUGCUCAACAGAUGGGCUGCCGGAGAUACUACAUAGCUAGGGAGCGGGAGAGGUAGACGGUAUUCUGUGGGUAGGGGUAAAAUCCACUGAUCCAUAGAGGACCACCAGUGGCGAAGGCGGUCUACCAGAACGCGUUCGACGGUGAGGGAUGAAAGCUGGGGGAGCAAACCGGAUUAGAUACCCGGGUAGUCCCAGCUGUAAACGAUGCAAACUCGGUGAUGCAUUGGCUUAUGGCCAAUGCAGUGCCGCAGGGAAGCCGUUAAGUUUGCCGCCUGGGAAGUACGGACGCAAGUCUGAAACUUAAAGGAAUUGGCGGGGGAGCA
rnacentral:rRNA from 1 species